GCAGAACUUUCCCUCCAGCAGACGCUGCUCUCCGCACUAAAGGAUAAAGUCCAAGGUCCACCAGUGAAACCUAGUCACUGAUUUACCAAAGCCAAGACCGAUCCAUGCAGUCGAAUGUUUGUCCAAGUUUGGGCGUCCAUUUGAAUCAUUCCUCUCUCCUCCUGCCCAUCUAAGGAAUUGCAAGGCAAGCAUGGCAAGCGUGGCUUUCCAGUUGCCAAUUAAGAGUUAUUUGCUGACUUCGAAGUCUAAAUGAUUUAAGAGUUCAAAGCAUGAUUCAUGAGGUCUGUAUCCUAAUUCAACGACAGUGAAACAAAUGUAUUGCAGAUUCCCCAAAAAGUAAAAAACGUUCAUUUGAAAUGUGCAAUGUGUUUUGAGUCUAAGUUGUCAAGACUCGAGCGCUUGCACAGGUUUACACAGGGUCUGCGUAGGGCACAGGUUUACACAGGGUCUGCGUAGGGCACCAGGUAGUGAACUGGAAUGUGCCUUGGCCAUUGGAUCCCUUCCCUUUCUCGUGGUCGGGAGAGCCAGACAGUCAGGCACCACCCUUGUUUUGUGUGUGUGUGUGUGUGUGUGUGUGUGUGUGUGUGUGUGUGUGUGUGUGUGUGUGUGUGUGUUCAAGGUGUUUUCCCCUCUAGACAUGAAAAUGGCACUUUGGGGGAUAAAAAAAAAAGAAAAAAAAAAAAGAAACAUCCAUGAAAUCCAAGCCUGUUGUUUUCCCCGGGAAACAACCCUAAUUAUUCUAAUUGUAUGGAAUAAAUAUGUGCGUUUUGUCCAGAGUGUGAGUUGAGGUAUGAACUUUGUCCUUUUGUUGCUUACCAACACAUUUCUUCAUUUAAAUUCAGUUUUAUUUAUACAGCACCAAAACUAAAAAAGAUUUUUUUAUUUAUAUAAGAAAUGUAUUUGUCUCAAGGCCCAGAGCCCAGGGCCUGAACUUGAACUUAUUCAUCUUAUUCAACUUAUUCAACAAGUUAUAAUGAAGAGGUUAAGGUUUUCUUUGCUAGAUAC
ensembl:lncRNA